rnacentral:tRNA from 1 species
UGGCUCAGUCAGUAGAGCAUAUGACUCUCAAUCUCAGGGUUGUGAGUUCAAGUCUCAC